rnacentral:misc_RNA from 1 species
UUAACUAUUUUAAAAUACUCAGACGACAUAAACAUUCAGAGUUUGGGGUUCUCUAACGGGCGUCAGCCCGCUAAAGCAACAAAGUUAUUGAUACGCAAGGGUGGGAGAUCUACCCGUGAGGGCAUGAACUCUGUAAUGAUCCUUCCGCAGGUUCACCUACGGAAA